GACAGAGGGUGCAAACGUUGUUCGGAAUUACUGGGCGUAAAGCGUGCGCAGGCGGCCUUGCAAGUCGGGCGUGAAAUCCCACGGCUCAACCGUGGAAGUGCACUCGAAACUGCUUGGCUAGAGUCUUGGGGAGGAAGGCGGAAUGCUUGGUGUAGAGGUGAAAUUCGUAGAGAUCGAGCGGAACACCAGUGGCGAAGGCGAGUUCCUGGACAAGACCUGACGCUGAGGCACGAAAGCCAGGGGAGCAAACAGG
rnacentral:rRNA from 1 species